AAUCCAUGGAUGUUUAAGGGUGCAUAAUAUAAAUUAAUUUUAUUUUUGUUAUGUAUUUUUGUUUGAUUUUUCCAUUAAUAUGUUGUAUUUUCUUAAAACUGGCUGAGGUAUUAGAAAUUUAGACCAUAGACAUAUUGAAAUGAACUGAAGCUUGAAGUACUGUCGAAAUUGAGGGUUCUUUCUGAUAAAAUUUAGGACUUUUUCAUUGGAUGCCUAAACAAUCAGCGGUGCUAGGGAGAAGACUAUUUUCCAUGAAUUUUUUGGAAAAAAACAAUGGUUGGAGCAGUCUCAGUUGAUGUCAAUGGAUCAUGUGAGAGGGUUAUUGCAUGGGAAGAAAAGUAAAGCACGAGGUCCCUGAAGAUUGGGUCUGUGAAUCAUGCCAAAGUGUCAGUGACUCAGUUUUGAUGGAAUCUGGGAAGAGAGAUGAAGUUGUCACAAUAGCAAUGAGCAAGGGGAAAUUGUCAAUUUCACAACUUCAUUCCAAGAAGAAAAAGCCAGUAGAAACUGGUAAAGUUAAGUUCAUUCCUCAUGAAGAAAUCCUUAAGCUAUCUUCAGAGACCUUCAACGAGUCAAGAGGUCAGAAACUAAACAUUGCACGCUACUUGAUCUCAAAUGCCUACUAACUCUAGAGAGAAUAGGUAGAGAGAUGUGGAUAGCAUCUACAUUGCUAUAAAGUUUUGACUGUGUUGAAAUUGAUACUCAUCCUUUUCAU